UUGGGGUGAGGUCAGCACAAGCUCCCUCUUGCAAGGGUGACCUGAUUCUGCAUCUGCUGUGAAGAGCCCCAGCGGCUGCGUGGGUGGGCUCAGCCCUGGGGAGAUCCCAGCUUUGCGCCUGCCCCCCAGGAGAGGGGCAGAAGGGUAUGGGCACUGGAAGGAGAUGCUGCCAGCGGGAGGAGGAGGAGGAUGAAGAUGAAGAAGAGGAGGAAGGAGCUGAGAAACAGCUGUGGCAGCAAGGGCUGCCCCACGCAUAACGCUCUUCAAAGUUUCUCAAGGGGCCUUAGCCGCUCUUUCAAGGCACAAGAACCCUGGAACCAGGACAGCGUGGAGCUCAUCUCAGUAUGGCCCACACACUGGGAUCACUUGCUGUGACUGCAGUCCCACCCUGGGUUUCUUCAUUUGCCCGGGUACACUCAGGCGAUGCUAAUAUCCCACCCAGGACCGCAUGGGCAAGCUGCAAAGCCUUGCUCAGCUACGGUGACUCACUCGGGUUCCCCAGGGGAAGGUCGUCACUUCUGGCAGGCUCCAAUGGCCCAGAGGCAAAUGGGUACUUGGCAGAGGGAGCUCUCAUGAUCUCUCCAUGGCUCUAAUCAAAAUGGCCUGGAUGUCCAUGACAUUGGUGCCCGUCAAGCCUGUCACCAGGAGAUGACGCCCAUCUUGGAACUGGCUGAAGAAUGUAUAGGAGUCGUUGUUGUUGAGAAAUGCCUCCACGUCGAGGCCGUCCCGCAGCGCCUCACGCACCAGCUCGGGGCUGCAGAAAGCCCCUGCCGCCUCCGUUGGCCCAUCCUGCCCGUCCGUGCCCCCGCUGAGGAAGACAACGUCACACCUCGCGAGGCUCCUGCCUUCCGCAGCCUGUGCCUGGUGCAGCCCCAGCCCCACGCGCAGGGCCAGCUCCUGGUUCCUGCCUCCCUUGCCGGUUCCUUGCAGCUGAACCGUGGUUUCUCCGCCAGCCAGGAUGCACACUGGUCUUUCAGGUCCUAAACCUCGCAUGGCCUGCAGGAACUCGGCAAGGUUCAAACCUGGGAUGUCCAGCUCUGCCGCCAGCUGCAGGAGAUUCCCUCUCGCCUUGUCACCCUGGGGCCCUUCUCCAAGGCCAGCCAAGCCCAGGCAGCCCAGCUGGACCAGCUGGCAGUACAGCGCGGCAAUGCGGCUGACCUCCCCGCAGAUCGCUGCGCUCAGGAUCAAUGUCGCGUAGCCCAGGCCCUCAGCUUGGCGUUUGGCCUCAUCUAAAGCCAGCGCAUUUGACCCGAUGAUGACAUUGCAAACGUGGGAGUAGUCUUCAGGAGCGGUGGGCUUGGUGGGAGAGUGGGACAGGACCGUUUCCACUGACUCGGGCAGGCUUUGCAGCAAGUUGUAUUUGGUGAGUAUCUGAAGGCAGUCUUGGAUGCUGUGGGAGCUGGCAGCAGUGGGGCCACUUGCUAUGAUAUCCAGGGGGUCACCGAUCACAUCAGAAAGGAUGAGGCUCACCACCUACCAAGAGAAACACCCACAGAUCAUAGCAGGAGGCAGAGACAGGUGACCACACGAGAGCCCUGGCAUAAGCGCUGCUCUGAGUUACACCUGCACCACCCGUGUGCCAAAGCAGAUGGAAACGGGCAGAUCUUGGGCCAUUUUUGUUUUACAGUCCUGUGAAAGUCACCUUGCCCUACUUGAACCCACAAACCUACAAUAUCCUUUGAUGCUGGACCACCAGACUGGAAGAUGUAACCUGCGACACUGCACUUGUCAGGCUGGUAACCUAGUGAGGGUUCAGCACACAUUGAGAACAGCCCUGAGGGGAGCCAAGGGUCGUACCCAGCCUUGAAAGCGUUGUGGUGGAGCCACCAGCACAUUGGAAGCGCCUGCUAGGUGAGGGCUGGGGACUGCUGAGAGUGGUGUGAUGGGAUGGCUGACAUCUGCAGAGUCCAAAUUCCCCCUGCUGCACCUCUGUGUCUGUGAGCAGUUGGGUCCUCAGUGAAAUCUGAGCCACAGAGUCCCAAAACAGUGUGCAGAAGUUGUUCACACAGUAAGGAGAAAAAAAAACUGCACGCAUGCUUAGGUCAGUUGAUUAAACCCCUAUUUUGAGGGCAGAUGGGUGACCUCUGAGCAAGCAGGGGCUUCGCCCCGGUUACCUGUGCAGGAUAUGCAAGCCGGGCCAACCCUCCACCCUUCAGCAAGGACAGAGUCUUCCGGACAAUGUUCAGCUCCUGUAUGGCAGCUCCUCGGGAAGCCAGUGUCUUUGUGAGCUUCUCCUUCUCUUCAAGAAGGAUGGGCGGGAUGGGAGCAGGCAGUAGGGCUGAUCCACCCCCUAGGAUGCAGAAGAGAUGGCAAGGACAUCAGGAGAGCAGGAGAAGGAGGACAGAAGGAAAGAAAGGCUGUUCAAUGCCUUUCCUGUGCACUGUGGGAAUGCAGAGGUGGUUGGGGAACUAUGCUGACAUCUCUGGACAAUUCAGUUUUAAUCCCUGCUGCCCUGCACUGCUUGGAGCCAGCUACACUUCACCCAGGCGGCAUAAACCUCAGCGUACCCAGGUGCUGCGUGCCUGCAGUGGUGUGAGGAUGAUGGAGAAGGGCCAGCAAUUACUACCCCUAUUUUACACUAUACAAUUACACUACCAGGCUGCUAGUGUGUCGCCACGCUGAUUUUCAGGGACUAUCUGGAUGGGUGAGCAGGGAGCACAGACUCCAUGACUCGAUGCUAAGCAGAUGGAGAAACUGCCUACUUUGCUGGCUCCAUUUAUUCAGGGCAGUGUGUAAAACCACCAGCUACAGCUGCAGCAAGAUUGGAAACUGCUGAACUGCACUCAGCUAGGCUUGGGAGGAAAGAGAAGUAACACAAAGGACAAAGCACACCCAGAAUCUAGUAUGAUAGCCUCAUCGAUGGGAAUCCUGUCUGGUACAAGUGAGCAUUGGAAAUGUGAAAAAAAAAAAAAAAAGGCAAGAAAAAUAUUAUAAUGGAAAAGUGGAAUAGCUGGAAAAUAACACAGUAGAAAGGAGCAAGAUCUGAGCAGAGAGGGAAUGUGCACGGAAGUACAGCUGAAAGCUACUGUCAAAAGGCAAAGCCUGCUCAGAGGUUUGAGGCAAAUCAGCAUCAAUAAAACAUGACGAGCAAGGAAAACAAA